rnacentral:lncRNA from 1 species
UUUCAACAGGAACACUCAAAACUAACGUAGUUCUGGGUUUUCCAUUUCUAGCCUGUACUGUCACAGAACCUGAAAAAUAAGAUUUUCUUCCAUGGUUCGAUCUUGCUUUAACAGGGUUCUUUUGCUGUCACUUCUUCUCACAAUCGUUUUCUCUAAUGGUAAUUCUAGAAAUAAUUGCAGCUUCAUUAUUAUUAUUAUUAUUGUGUUUUUAUCAUUGAUAUGAACGUGCGGCAUAUUAGACCUGUUUUUCCAUGUAUUCCUUCUAUAUAUAGGAUGUGGAAGAAAAAGGAUGAGAGCUUAUGAUCACGAAGAGGAUGCAGUUGAUUUCUCCGAGGUUUAUAUCUAUUUUCGGGUGUAAUUUUUUGUGAUUUCGUGAAUUCAAUUAUUUUCUGAUGAAAAUUAUAUUUUCUGUUUUUAAUGUAGGAAAAGGGAAGAGAGACGAUCGAGUUGGACUAUGUUGAUGCAGGGCCAAACUUCAAUGGUAGAACCGGUUAUCCUAUCCCUUCUACUCCUCCUCCUCCACCACCACCACCACCACCACCUCCACCCUUGGAGUUACGUUAUUUAUUUC